AUGAGCGAGUAUGGAGCAGUGGACGAGAAGUGCAUUCAGUUGGCAGAACUAGCAUCCAAGACGGGCAAUAACGUGUCGACGCCGCCGGCCCUUCGACCAAAACUGUAACCCGACAUCAUGGGAAAGGAUGAUGCCAUUUCCUACAAAUCAGAGAAGAUCCUCGGAAGGCUCUAACGGUCGAUCCAAGAAGCCUCCAGCAGCGAUCUGGUCCCAGAAGAAACCUGCACGCUGAACGACCUGCCUUACGACACGGACAUGGAGGUCCCCGGCGCGGCGGAUUUCAUGUCGAGUGCGUGGCAGUGCAAGUGCUCGUAUGAGGCGCAGCUGGACGCGCUGCUCAAGCAGUACGGCGUGCCCACGGAGGCGGAGCUCGUGACGGGGCACAUAUAGUCGCUCCCCAAGUACAACAGCAGGAAGUAGGGGGGCAUAAAGGAGAGGCUGAAGAACGCCUACUCCGCCCUGCGCAAGGAGUUCUGGGCCAUCUUCGAGAGCGUCAAGGCCGAGGCCAUUGUCUUAGACGACGACGAGAGGAACCGGGUGUACGAAAUGAAGGCCUCGGCAUGGUACCGGGUGACCUACCACCCCAAAUGGGUCCAGCAGUCGAGGGAGAUACUGCUAGAGCUCCACCGCGAGGAGGAGGACGCGCCGGCGAGGCUUAGCUUCAUGUGGAUCCCAGUCGAGCACCUGACCCGGAUCAAGUUACGGUGCCGUGGGGGAGUGAAGGCGGUCCGCCGCAGGCCCGUCGAGAGGCUUGCUGCCUACUCCUACAUGUCUGGGAGCCUGUGA
rnacentral:rRNA from 1 species